GACGAACGCUGGCGGCGUGCCUAAUACAUGCAAGUCGAGCGAAGUUUUUCUGGUGCUUGCACUAGAAAAACUUAGCGGCGAACGGGUGAGUAACACGUAAAGAACCUGCCUCAUAGACUGGGACAACUAUUGGAAACGAUAGCUAAUACCGGAUAACAGCAUUAACUGCAUGGUUGAUGUUUAAAAGUUGGUUAUGCUAACACUAUGAGAUGGCUUUGCGGUGCAUUAGCUAGUUGGUGGGGUAAAGGCCUACCAAGGCGACGAUGCAUAGCCGACCUGAGAGGGUGAUCGGCCACACUGGGACUGAGACACGGCCCAGACUCCUACGGGAGGCAGCAGUAGGGAAUCUUCCGCAAUGGGCGAAAGCCUGACGGAGCAACGCCGCGUGAGUGAAGAAGGAUUUCGGUUCGUAAAGCUCUGUUGUUAGGGAAGAAUGAUUGCGUAGUAACUAUACACAGUAGAGACG
rnacentral:rRNA from 1 species